rnacentral:rRNA from 1 species
UACGUAGGGUGCAAGCGUUACUCGGAAUUACUGGGCGUAAAGCGUGCGCAGGCGGUUUUGUAAGACUGGUGUGAAAUCCCCGGGCUUAACCUGGGAAUGGCGAUGGUGACUGCAAGGCUAGAGUUUGGCAGAGGGGGGUAGAAUUCCACGUGUAGCAGUGAAAUGCGUAGAGAUGUGGAGGAACACCGAUGGCGAAGGCAGCCCCCUGGGUCAAAACUGACGCUCAUGCACGAAAGCGUGGGGAGCAAACAGG